rnacentral:lncRNA from 1 species
UGAGAUAUUUCCACGUGAUUGAUUGUGCAAAUAUCUCCAUCCUUGGACGAUCGGGCAGCUGCCCACCCAUUGUUCCUACGCAUACCAAAUUCUCCUAAAGGUGAUAAUUUUGUUUUACAAAUUGGAGUGGAAUCAGAGAUUUCAUUGCAGGGAUAUUUCUUCCAUUCGCUGGCCAGCUUCAAUUCAGCUUCCUUUUCUGCAGGAGUGGGCUUGUGUCUAUCAAGUUGCUCUAAUAUUUUUCUUACAGUCUCAUUGAGAGGCAUAGCUUCUUCAGACCUGCUUGCUCUAUGCUCCACUGAUUGGUCCUUCUCGACACCACUAGGUUGACCAACUUCCAAGUUCUUCCUAGAAGCAGGCGAGAAAACUUCAGAAGCACCAACUUUUCCUAAAGGUGAAGAAGCAUUUCUGGAAUUCGGGAAUAUGGAUCUCUGAGGCCGAGAUUCUGAUUUUUCCUAAAGGUGAAAAAGCAUUUCUGGAAUUCGGGAAUAUGGAUCUCUGAGGCCGAGAUUCUGAUCCAAAUUUAUUCCGUAUACGCCGAAUGGGUCCCGCAGAUCCAUAGCUUAGAUGAGGUAAAUCACUCUUAGUCUUCUCCUGAAAUUUUUAUAGCAUGAGAACAUUCAGAAAGAUCACAACUGCUCUUUGAAAGUAUUCUAAUUAGAUUACAAUAAAGAUUAAUGAUCACAGAAAAUCUUAUAAACAUGCAAAAAACCAUUAAAUCAGUAGAGGAAACAUCAAAUAAGAAGUUGCUAAAAACCGUUAGAUCAGUACAGGAAACUUCAAAUAAGAAGCUGCUUUGAUUGACAGGAAUUUUGUCAUUGAAUUAACUUUAGACUUGCUAAGACAAACAUAUACCUGGCUGUAGAUUGAUGAUUGAGAUUGCUGGAAGGUUUUCGCUGAGAGAUCUGGCCACCUGCUACCAGCCUGCGACUGAGUCUGCUCACAAAAUGUAAGUGCAACAAGAAUAAAUAUUCCUGGAUUAACAAAGGUAUGCUUGAAACACAGCUAAAUUUUGUCACAAUACAAACCCUAUCUCUGGAUUUCGGCAAUAAAGUUCUAGAGUAUGGGGUCCUCGGAAACUCAACAAGCCCAUAUCCUCUCUGACUCUGUGGAGUGAUAUGACUAUGCUGAUCUUGCAGCAUGGCAGCCGGCCAACAAGUCGAUGACUUAAGCGAAGG